rnacentral:rRNA from 1 species
UACGUAGGGUCCGAGCGUUGUCCGGAAUUACUGGGCGUAAAGAGCUCGUAGGUGGUUUGUCGCGUUGUUCGUGAAAACUCACAGCUCAACUGUGGGCGUGCGGGCGAUACGGGCAGACUAGAGUACUGCAGGGGAGACUGGAAUUCCUGGUGUAGCGGUGGAAUGCGCAGAUAUCAGGAGGAACACCGGUGGCGAAGGCGGGUCUCUGGGCCGAAACUGACGCUGAGGAGCGAAAGCGUGGGGAGCAAACAGG